rnacentral:rRNA from 1 species
UACGUAGGGUGCGAGCGUUGUCCGGAAUUAUUGGGCGUAAAGAGCUCGUAGGCGGUGUGUCACGUCGGCCGUGAAAACCUGCAGCUUAACUGUGGGCGUGCGGUCGAUACGGGCAUCACUGGAGUUCGGCAGGGGAGACUGGAAUUCCUGGUGUAGCGGUGAAAUGCGCAGAUAUCAGGAGGAAUACCGAUGGCGAAGGCAGGUCUCUGGGCUAUAACUGACGCUCAUGCACGAAAGCGUGGGGAGCAAACAGG